rnacentral:lncRNA from 1 species
AAGUAGAAAAAUAGGUUCGAAUCACCACAUAGGGUUCCAAUAAAAUCCUAGAAUAAAAACUUAGCUACUCAUGUUCGUAACGAAAAGCAUAAGAAAAAUACGAGAAUUCAUAAAUUUAGAAAAGAAAAGGAAAAAGGAAAACUAGGAUGAAAAAUCGUCAAGUCUUCGUCUUCGUUCUCUUGCUCCUUGAUUGCGUGUAGAAAAGAUAAAAAAACUAAAAACUAAUAAUAACGAUAAAAGGUAAAAGAUAAUCCUAAUUGUGUGCUUGUGGCCUUUAAAUAGGGUGCAAAACUAUAAUAGGGCGGGUUUCCUUGUGUAAUUAAAAUUCCUUCACUGCGCCAUCACGCCCAUCCGGACGGCCGUGUGAGAUUUUGAACUAAAAUCCGCACGGCCGUGCGGUCUUUGAUUCUCCAGAUUUCUGAUUUUUCACUUUUGGCCCACUUUUUCUCUGAAUUUGCAGUUUUCACCCCAAAAGUUGCCAAUUCUUCAAUUUGCACCUAAAAUACAAAUAAUAGCCAUAUUAAGCACCAAUUAUCGUAAAAACACAUCAAAAGCUCCAAUUAAAAGGUACAAUUAAGUGUAUAAAUAUACACUUAACACACCCCCAAACUUGAACUUUUGCUUGUCCUCAAGUAAAAUUAAAUUAAUAACACAAAACAAAACCAUACAUCUCAUUACAUAGAUCGAUUGGUCAACUUCGCGUUUUCAGAACUUGCAAUUAUCAUGACAAUUCAUAGGUAUUCGCAAGCUUAACAUUCAACGGCACUUAGUCACUCACUAUUACCAAAAACCACAAGUCAUACAAUUGCUUCAAGUAUCCAAUAUUUGCAAGUUAAAGAUAGAAAGAAUUUAUACUUACAUGCAUAUAUUUGACUCCAAAUACUCACCAAAUUAUUUUACUCAACUAAUAUUGAACAAUAAGCUAUUGGGAUCAUUGGGGCUUUGUGGCUUUCAAUUGUUAGGCUCUUUGGUCCGAGGUAGGUAAUAUGGGAAUGUGUGGCUAAUUUUCUUGAAUUGAGGUGAUUACGCCAAAAUUUGAAAGAUAGGCGUUUGAAACAAUGAAUUCACCUCUAGGGACUUAAAUAAACUCGAUUCUCCAAAAUUCACACGUCAACACUUUUGCCUUGAGGCAAUGGAUCGAGUUUUCAACACAACUCAACAACUAGUCCUUAUUUCUCCCUUCUAAUCUAUUCUUCUUCUUUUUUUUUUUUUUUUUUUUUUUUUUUUUUUUUUUUUUUUCGCAUAUCGAAGGAUUUAGAUAUAUAUAUAUAUAUAUAUAUAUAUAUAUAUGAAGAUGCACAUAUAUAUCUAUCCUUUUUUUUUUUCCUUUUUUUUUUUUUUUUUUUUUAGAAGAAGAAGAAAGAUCUUAUAAGAAUUUUUCGACCGACCACCAAGGGAUAAUUAUUCAAAAAUCUCCACUUUUCUACCUUCUACUAAUUGGCUAAAAGAAAGAACACCUUUUCUCCGAGGCUCAAAUCAAGGUUCUAAGGAUAAAUUGACAAAAAGGGUAGGCUUGAAAGGCUCAAACGGUUCAAAGAAGGCCCAAAUCAUAUCCCAAAUCACUUAUUAUCAACACUUCGUAUCAUAAAUGUCAUAAGGUGAGAUUUAAAACCGAACAAAGCAUGAUUGAGCACAAAUAAAUUCCAAAUUUAAAAUGCAAAACAUUCAACCAAAGCAAUGCACAAGGUGUGAUUCCUAGCAAUAAUUCACUUCUACGUUCCGUUGAAUCGAAAGCUAAACAAAUACAUACUCCUUAUCAACAUAAAACAAGCAAUUUCAUCAUCAAACAUUGACCAUCUCCCAUCAUCAUAAUUCAUCGAUGCAUCAAUUUUUUUUUUUUUUUUUUUUUUUUUAAUAAAAACGAAAAUAAUAAAACGGCAACUAAAACAAAAACUAACGCAUGAAAAAUAAAAAUAAUAAAACACAAAUAAAGCGCACAUAAAUGAAAACAAGUAGUUAACCACCCCCAAACUUAAAAUUCACAUUGCCCUCAAUGUGAUUCGCCCGGAGUUUAAGGAUAGAAAACACCUGUUUUUAAGCGUCGGGACCAUCGUCGGGUUGUUGGAAUUUGAUCGGUUUUCUUGCCCUUCCCUUUGCUCUUUGAAGUGCCUUCGCCUUGUGAGGUGCCCUCCCCGUCACGUCCUCGUUUCCCCACUACUUGAGAAUGUGUGUAGAAGGGAUUAGGAGUGGAUUGAUGUGCAAAAUUUCCCCCAAACUUGACUUGGGCAAUUCGUCGAACACCUUGUGGGCGUUCUUGAUUGAAUGGAUUUUUGGAGAAAUUUGUACCUUUCUUGAACCCUCCCUGCACAAAUCAGCAACAAACAACCGAGAUAAGCAACAAUAUGUGUGUAGUUGGUGAAUUUUCGGUGAAAUUGUUCAAGAAAGUCGAAAAUUUUGAAAAGAGGGGUUUAGGGUUCGAAUUAGGAGAGAAGUGGGGAUUGGAAUUGUGAAAAUUGGGGUUUGGAAAACCCCUAUUUAAUAUGCCCGAAUUUUAUUUAUUUUUUUUUAAUUUUUUUUUUUUUUUUUUUUUUUUUUUUUUUUUCCGCACGGCCGUGCGGAAUUUUGGCCUUAAAUCGGCACGGCCGUGCCAUUUUGCAUAUUUGGGCAGUAGUUGUUUCAAUUUUUGGACGGCCGUGCGAUUUUUAAGGGAAAAAUCCGCACGGCCGUCCCAUUUCCGGAAUUUAUACAGUAGCAUCCCCGAAAUUCACACGGCCGUGUGAAUUUCUUCCCUUUUUCUUGCACGGCCGUGUGAAUAAUUGCAUUUAGAUCCCUGCAAAAUAAAAACUUCUUAUUAGUGCCCCUGAAACUUUUUUUUUUUUUUUUUUUUUUUUUUUUUUUUUUUUGAAAAAUAAAAUAAAAUAAAAGCAAAACUAAAAAUUUAAAAUAACAUAAAAUAAAUAAAAAAAACGAAAGCUCGGGUUGCCUCCCGAGAAGCGCUAAGUUUACAGUCUUCAGCCGGACUUUGUCUGCUUCUUUGAUCAAGCUAACGUGACCGAAGCCACUUGGCGAUUGAAUUCCUCGCCCCAAUAAUUCUCGUUUGGUUCUUUAGGAGGCCACAUCCACCUCGCACGUUUAUCAUUAUUAUCACCCCGACUCGUUUGACUGUCCCUUGGCGGAGUUGAAAUUGAGCUCGCACAAUAAACUUGCUCCGUCCGACUAUCUUUUCCGCCACCAUCUCCUGCACUCAAAAAUCCUUUCCCACGGUCUAAGAUCAAAGCGUCAAAAUCGUCAUGAUUUGUAAAAUCCACAAGAUCUAUAGCAUAACAAUCAUUAUCAUCACUUGGAUUUUUAUUAGUGCUAAAAACGUUAAAUUUGACCGUUUGAUCAUGCACCGUCAUUGAAAGAUCACCACUAGCACAAUCAAUUAGAGUUUUUGACGUGGCUAAAAACGGUCUCCCUAAAAUAAGAGGUAUCUCCCUAUCUUCAUCUAUGUCAAGUAUAACGAAAUCAACAGGGAAGAUAAAUUUGUUCACUUUUACUAGCACAUUCUCUAAAAUACCUUUUGGGUAAACUAAAGACCUAUCGGCUAAUUGAAGAGUUAUAGCCGUUGGUUCAAUCUCACCUAACCCAAGAUUUUUGUAAGUGGAAUAAGGCAUAAGAUUAAUGCUAGCACCUAAAUCAAUGAGUGACCUAAAAUUUUUACCUCCAAUAGUGCAAGGGAUAGUGAACUUACCUGGAUCGCCGAGUUUUUGUGGAAGGGGUCGUACAAGAAUUUCACUGCAUUGCUCCGUGAGUUGGAUGAUCUCGUUCCCUUGCAAUUUAUUCCUCUUUGUCACGAGCUCCUUGAGGAAUUUCACCCACUUUGGCAUCUUUUGAAUGGCUUCGAUAAACGGAAUGUUGAUGUGGAUUUCCUUCAGCUUGUCCAAGAAUCCUUGGUGCUCGGCAUCGAGUUUCUUCUUUUGAAGCUUUUGAGGAUAUGGGACUUGAGGGACUCGUGAGAUCACUGUGGGAGAUGGCGGUUCCUUGCGAGUUGCUUCUUUUUCCUCAAUCACAUUCGGCUCCUCGAUUACCGUGUUUUGCUUCUCCUUUCGUGGGGCCUCCUCCAAUUGUCUCCCGUUCCUUAAACUUACAGCGUUGCACUGUUCGAUGUUGUUCUUCCGAGGAUCUUCCGUGUUUGAUGGCAGUGCUCCCGAUGGCCUCGAGGUUAGUUGGGUUGCAAGUUGACCCAUUUGUGUUUCCAAAUUCCGGAUGGAGGCUUGGGUGGUUGUCAUAAAUUGCGCCAAUAUGUUUGCGAGAUCUCCUCCUUGAGGUUGAGCUUGGGGCGGAUUUUGAAAUCCGGGAGCUGGUCGUGAAUAAUUAGGCGGUUGGCCUUGAGGUGGUGCUUGCCUUUGCCCUUGCUGAUUUCCUCCCCACCCAAAGUUAGGGUGAUCCUUCCAUCCCGGAUUGUACGUGUUGGAGUACGGGUUCCUCUGUUGUCGGUUGGUGUCAUGCACAUAAUUCAGAGACUCCGUUUCUUCUACGCGCUGGUCGGGAACUUGGACUGCAUGGACUUGCUGAGUCUGCAAAGCCGCUACUUGCUUCGAUAGCUUCUCCAAUUGGGCUGUGAUUGCAGUGACUCCGUCUAAUUCCAAAAUUCCGCCCGUCUUGACUGCUCCGCUAUUCGACCGGUCCGAUGCCCGCAUGUAUUUAUUUCUAGCGAUUCGCUCCAAAAGCUCGUAUGCUUCAUCGUAAGUCAAACUCAUGAACAUACCUCCAGCAGCAGAGUCGAGCACGGUCCUCGAGUUGUCUUGCAAUCCAUCGUAAAAUAUUUGCAGUUGGCGCCACUCUUGAAGCCCGUGAUUUGGGCACCUCCUUACUAGCUGCUUGAACCGCUCCCACGUCUCGAAUAACGCUUCACCGGCUUCUUGUAUGAAGUUUUGAAUUUCUCGCCGGAUUCUCUCAGUUUUUGUUGGGGAGUUGUAUGUGUUCAUGAAAAGUUGAGCUAGCUGGGCCCACGACGAUAUGGAGUGUGGUGCACGAGUUUGCAACCAUUCUCGGGCUGCGCCUUGUAGGGAAUGCUUGAACAGGCGGAGUUGCAGUGCUUCGGGUGUUACUCCGUUCAUCUUAUGCGAGUCACACGUUUCGAGAAAGUUGACCAAGUGAAGAUGUGGAUCUUCAUGAGCCAAUCCGCUGAAAAGACCAUUGUUUUGGAGCAUCGUGAGGAGUCCCGCUCGAAUCUCGAAGUUAUUGGCUUCAAUGGGGGGUUGCUGGAUGCUUGAUUGGAACCCAUUAAGUGUCGGGACGGUGUACUCAUGCAGUGCUCGUUGGCGAGGCGGUGGAUUGAUUAGUUGGCGUUGCUCUUGCUCGUUGACGAUUUCUCUCGCCAAAUUCGGUGGGCGCCUUUGGUCACCUUCUCCACGAUUAUUCUCGUCUUCCAUCGUUGCCGGAGUGUUUUGAGCUAACCGUUGAUUUCUCCUGGCUUGCCUAAACGUUCGCUCAAUUUCGGGAUCAAGAGGUAGCAGCCUCGUGUCGUGUCCUCUUCGCAUAAAAAGUACCUAAAAAAAAUAAAAAUUAAAUAAUUAAAUAAAAUAAAAAAAAAUGGCUGAAGUAAGAAAAAUUGUUUAAAUUUAAUAUUAGGAUAAAUAAACAAUUUAGCCGUAUUCCCCGGCAACGGCGCCAAAAACUUGUUGGGUGCUAAAUACCAACACGCAAGUGUACGUAUCGCAAACAAGUAGUAAAGUAGACUCGUGAGAGUCGGAUGUCGAUCCCACAGGGAAUACGUAAAUUAUUUAAUCCUAAGUACCAAAUCCUAACAAUUGUGAUUUUUAUCCAGCCUACGCAGGGUUGUCAAAUUAAUUAACUAAAUAAAUUAAACUAAUUAAGAACACAAGUAAUCACGAGAAAAAGAUCAAUAAUAAACGGAUCUAGGAUUUUAUCUUCCCCCUAUGCUAUAAUUCUCCACCCAAUUAAUUUCCUAUCAUGCAAGUUACGAUUCCCGAUUAUUAACCCAAGACACGAAAUUAUUCAUAACCAGCUGUCGCUGCGCUAUAAACCUAUUAUUCAUAAAAGAUUCACUAUAUGUCUAUGCAAACCUAGUAUAAAUAAAGCAUUAAAUAUCAAGUCUCGCAAACGGCUACCUAAGGUAUUAUCUGUAUGUCUACGAUAAUACAUGCAAUCAACACACGCAUUCGGUGAAAAACUACUCGAAGGCUCUCCUAUCCCUGUUCUAAUUAUUAAAACGAUCUGUCAAUCAAUUCUAACAAUAACAAAUAGCAACAUAAGUUAGCUACGCUCAUGCACUAAAUAAACUCAAGAUAGAAGAAAUAAUCGAAGAAUUAAACUUGCAUAAAAGUAGAAAAAUAGGUUCGAAUCACCACAUAGGGUUCCAAUAAAAUCCUAGAAUAAAAACUUAGCUACUCAUGUUCGUAACGAAAAGCAUAAGAAAAAUACGAGAAUUCAUAAAUUUAGAAAAGAAAAGGAAAAAGGAAAACUAGGAUGAAAAAUCGUCAAGUCUUCGUCUUCGUUCUCUUGCUCCUUGAUUGCGUGUAGAAAAGAUAAAAAAACUAAAAACUAAUAAUAACGAUAAAAGGUAAAAGAUAAUCCUAAUUGUGUGCUUGUGGCCUUUAAAUAGGGUGCAAAACUAUAAUAGGGCGGGUUUCCUUGUGUAAUUAAAAUUCCUUCACUGCGCCAUCACGCCCAUCCGGACGGCCGUGUGAGAUUUUGAACUAAAAUCCGCACGGCCGUGCGGUCUUUGAUUCUCCAGAUUUCUGAUUUUUCACUUUUGGCCCACUUUUUCUCUGAAUUUGCAGUUUUCACCCCAAAAGUUG